ACGGGUGCGUAACGCGUGGGAAUCUGCCCUUGGGUCUGGGAUAACAGUUGGAAACGACUGCUAAUACCGGAUGAUAUCGCGAGAUCAAAGACUUAUCGCCCGAGGAUGAGCCCGCGUAGGAUUAGCUAGUUGGUGGGGUAAAGGCCUACCAAGGCGACGAUCCUUAGCUGGUCUGAGAGGAUGAUCAGCCACACUGGGACUGAGACACGGCCCAGACUCCUACGGGAGGCAGCAGUGGGGAAUAUUGGACAAUGGGCGAAAGCCUGAUCCAGCAAUGCCGCGUGAGUGAUGAAGGCCUUAGGGUUGUAAAGCUCUUUUACCCGGGAUGAUAAUGACAGUACCGGGAGAAUAAGCCCCGGCUAACUCCGUGCCAGCAGCCGCGGUAAUACGGAGGGGGCUAGCGUUGUUCGGAAUUACUGGGCGUAAAGCGCACGUAGGCGGCUUUGUAAGUCAGGGGUGAAAGCCUGGAGCUCAACUCCAGAACUGCCUUUGAGACUGCAUCGCUUGAAUCCGGGAGAGGUAAGUGGAAUUCCGAGUGUAGAGGUGAAAUUCGUAGA
rnacentral:rRNA from 1 species